rnacentral:rRNA from 1 species
GACGAACGCUGGCGGCGUGCUUAACACAUGCAAGUCGAACGGAAAGGCCCUGCUUUUGUGGGGUGCUCGAGUGGCGAACGGGUGAGUAACACGUGAGUAACCUGCCCUUGACUUUGGGAUAACUUCAGGAAACUGGGGCUAAUACCGGAUAGGAGCUCCUGCUGCAUGGUGGGGGUUGGAAAGUUUCGGCGGUUGGGGAUGGACUCGCGGCUUAUCAGCUUGUUGGUGGGGUAGUGGCUUACCAAGGCUUUGACGGGUAGCCGGCCUGAGAGGGUGAACGGCCACAUUGGUACUGCGAUACGGCCCAGACUCCUACGGGAGGCAGCAGUGGGGAAUAUUGCACAAUGGGCGGAAGCCUGAUGCAGCAACGCCGCGUGCGGGAUGACGGCCUUCGGGUUGUAAACCGCUUUCGCCUGUGACGAAGCGUGAGUGACGGUAAUGGGUAAAGAAGCACCGGCUAACUACGUG